UGUAUAUGUAUGUAUGAGUCAUAAAUACCUGAGGUUGCUGGUUUCAUACUCCAGCUCUGUGUCUCAGUCUGCUGUUAUUUUGGUGUGUGUGGCCUGUCUCUGUGUGUGUCAGUGAGCUGGUCUCCUGUGCCUGCUGUGCUGAUAAUCAGUGGAUGGCUGUAGCUGGCUCAGUUCAGCAGGAACAGGGGUCUGCUCUUCUCUCUUGUGUCUCUCUGCUCCGAGCGAGGACUGUUCACACUACUGCUGCUCCACACUGUAAGUCACAGAUUGGGCUUUGAUAAGCAGACAUCUGUUUGUGAAACAAACGUUUGUUAUUUGCAUUGCAGAGACGUCGAGUUUCUUUGCAGGCUAAACUUAGAAAGACAUGUCGUAAGUGUUUUUUCAGACACUUCUCACCCACUGUCCUCUUCGUUUGCUCAUCAUUUUUCUUCUCCUGUGUCACCUUCAGUUCUCUGUGAAUUUCCCCAAAUGCUAAAUGAUGAAAUGUGUCAACAGCUUUCUUUUCUUUUUUCCAUCGCGGGCCAAACUAUUGGAAAUACAGCAAGUGACCAAGGAAACCUAAAGAAAUACACACAAUACAAACAAAUACAGUUCACUGUUUGAUCGCCAAACCACAAGAGGAACCACGGUCUGAAAUCACUUCUGAAGAAUAAUCCUCACAGAGUCACGGUCAGAGCGGCCUGCGUGCGACACUCUACAGCCAGCAUCGACAUUUACUUACGGUGGAUUUGUAAAAAAUAAAUAAAUAGAAAAAUGUAAAUCAACAUAUUAAUAAAUCGAUUAAUGAUAAAA